GCAGCAGCCGCGGUAAUACGUAGGGUGCAAGCGUUAAUCGGAAUUACUGGGCGUAAAGCGUGCGCAGGCGGUUAUAUAAGACAGAUGUGAAAUCCCCGGGCUCAACCUGGGAACUGCAUUUGUGACUGUAUAGCUAGAGUACGGCAGAGGGGGAUGGAAUUCCGCGUGUAGCAGUGAAAUGCGUAGAUAUGCGGAGGAACACCGAUGGCGAAGGCAAUCCCCUGGGCCUGUACUGACGCUCAUGCACGAAAGCGUGGGGAGCAAACAGGAUUAGAUACCCGCGUAGUCCCUGUCUCUUAUAC
rnacentral:rRNA from 1 species